UAGGUGACUCAAGGACAUCUGUGCCACCAGAU
rnacentral:piRNA from 1 species